CAGCGAGAACACGUCAGGGGAGGAAGUUCCCUGCCUGCUGGUGGAAGAUAGACAGAAGAGAAGGUUCUGAGGUCUGAGCUUUUCCUUUCACACCUGCAAUGACAAGGGCCAGAAUGUCCUUGACAUUCCCGUUCUCCCAGGCAGGGCUCUUUCCCUUGAGUUUUUCCCAGUACUCUGAACAGCUUUCUCAUUCCUGAUGCUCCUGAGAAUCCCUCCAGGCUCCUGACAGAGACUCAGAACAUCUGCGUGGGAAACUGAAGUGAUGAUUGCAGCACACAUAAGAAAAUCUCAAGUCUAAUGCAGCCAGAACAGGCGAGAAAACCACGAAAAACAGGCCUUUUGUGAAACUGGGACAAGUGUUUCCUGAUGAACUGACUGUGGAUUUGAGGAGCUUGCUGGGAAGGCUAUUUACUGGGUAAGACAUGAAGGUUUUUGGUGUCUGUGUGAACUCAGUGAAACACUGGAAUCCACCCCACAGAUUUAGAGAUGCUGAGAUGCACAACAGGAUUGGGACCCAGAUCCAGAACUAUUCUAGAGCAGAGAGAAUGGACAAAGCUCUCUAGAGAACCCACUUGGGUAAAAUUACCUUCCUGGCCAAAUGAGAUGAAGCAUGGAGUAUGUUUAAUUUGUGUGUUACAUUAUUGUUAAUAACAGUAUCUCAUUAAAGCAUCUCGUGACAUCUUAAUGAGCAAGAAAUCAAAAAAAUCAAGGAGGCUUUAUUGAAUUUUUCUUUCAACUCCAGCUCUCCAGGUUUGAAUGAAUCCAUCAUUGGAGACAGUGCCUUGUUUGUCUGAUUGUCUCUUCAGCUCAGCCAUGUAAGCUGUAGCUUUAUUGUCUAGAAACUAUCCUUAAAUUAAAGUCGUCAUUCUUAGGAAGAUGAUUGCUUGAAGGGGAGAUUAACCUUUACAAUGUGAUGAUGGAAGCUGUUGUUCAUUUCAAGAGCCCCUGAAGAUUGCUGGGAGCUGGAAGUGAUGGAAACUGGACUGGGAUUUGGCACCACAGAUGAGAGGUGGGAAUGGAGUUUGUCUUUGACGGGGCUCCUCACUCUCAUUUCAUUGCAGGAUUAUUAUUUAGGUAUUAAAAAUAAUGAUAAAAACUAAAUAAAUAUG